rnacentral:rRNA from 1 species
UUCCGUAGGGGUGAACCUGCGGAGGGAUCAUUACCGAGUUUACAACUCCCAAACCCCUGUGAACAUACCAAUUGUUGCCUCGGCGGAUCAGCCCGCUCCCGGUAAAACGGGACGGCCCGCCAGAGGACCCCUAAACUCUGUUUCUAUAUGUAACUUCUGAGUAAAACCAUAAAUAAAUCAAAACUUUCAACAACGGAUCUCUUGGUUCUGGCAUCGAUGAAGAACGCAGCAAAAUGCGAUAAGUAAUGUGAAUUGCAGAAUUCAGUGAAUCAUCGAAUCUUUGAACGCACAUUGCGCCCGCCAGUAUUCUGGCGGGCAUGCCUGUUCGAGCGUCAUUUCAACCCUCAAGCCCCCGGGUUUGGUGUUGGGGAUCGGCGAGCCCUUGCGGCAAGCCGGCCCCGAAAUCUAGUGGCGGUCUCGCUGCAGCUUCCAUUGCGUAGUAGUAAAACCCUCGCAACUGGUACGCGGCGCGGCCAAGCCGUUAAACCCCCAACUUCUGAAUGUUGACCUCGGAUCAGGUAGGAAUACCCGCUGAACUUAAGCAUAUCAAUAAGCCGGAGGAA